rnacentral:rRNA from 1 species
GACGAACGCUGGCGGCGUGCCUAAUACAUGCAAGUCGAACGCUUCUUUCCUCCCGAGUGCUUGCACUCAAUUGGAAAGAGGAGUGGCGGACGGGUGAGUAACACGUGGGUAACCUACCCAUCAGAGGGGGAUAACACUUGGAAACAGGUGCUAAUACCGCAUAACAGUUUAUGCCGCAUGGCAUAAGAGUGAAAGGCGCUUUCGGGUGUCGCUGAUGGAUGGACCCGCGGUGCAUUAGCUAGUUGGUGAGGUAACGGCUCACCAAGGCCACGAUGCAUAGCCGACCUGAGAGGGUGGUCGGCCACACUGGGACUGAAACACGGCCCAGACUCCUACGGGAGGCAGCAGUAGGGAAUCUUCGGCAAUGGACGAAAGUCUGACCGAGCAACGCCGCGUGAGUGAAGAAGGUUUUCGGAUCGUAAAACUCUGUUGUUAGAGAAGAACAAGGACGUUAGUAACUGAACGUCCCCUGACGGUAUCUAACCAGAAAGCCACGGCUAACUACGUG